rnacentral:tRNA from 1 species
GCCGACGUAGCUCAGGUGGUCAGAGCGCUCCGCUCAUAACGGAGAGGUUCGGGGUUCGAGGCCCCGCGUCGGCA